AUAAUAGAAUUACCGAGUGGUGCUGUAUUCUAGUCAGUUCUCCAUUUUCGAAAGCGGGCCUAAAAAUCCGCUAAAGGGCACAUCGAUGAAGUUCCUAGUUUUGGCUUGAGGCGCCCAGCCUUGGGUCCUAACUGGGAGUAAAGGCUUUAGGGCGAUCCACAAUGGCAUGUGGGCGAUGACCCUAUAGCCGCGGAGGCCUAUCGUUAUGAUAACCGUUCCCGCGGAAGUUGUAACAUGGGUAUGAACCUGCAAUACAAGUUGGGGAACUUGUUAGCAGCGUAGCCUGCCUUGAGUGGAGUAAGAGGGGAUUAUGGAUGCUAGGUUGUAUACAAACGGCACUCAUCCAUAUGAAAUCUGCUCUGCAAAAGAGGAUAGAGAAUGGUAGGAACUGCUGAGGAAAACUCCUAGACUGUUCCACUUCGGACAUCUAAAGGGGAUUAUAGUGCGUGCUAAGUGGCAAUCCAGUCUAACGUAUGGUGACAGCGUUAAGAUAGGUUUAAAGGGAAACCGCCAUAGCGGCGACGCUAAGGUACUUAUUUGGGAAAACCUACUGGACCUAAGGCGCAGUUUUUACUCUUUGGGUGACCACUCGGGUACAUAUUUUU
rnacentral:sRNA from 1 species